UCACCUAAAAUAUAUGUGUUUUUUUUAAUAUAAUUCACAGUUGAAAUAUAUAUACUGCUUAAAGUGUGCCAUGUAACCCAUUAAUGAAUUGUUUUGAUGAAAGUAUGAACUACAUAUUAGAAACAGCUAAAACUAAAAAACUUAUAUUCGUUAGGUGUGACCUUUGUCACACUUUUAAGUGUGCUAAGGGUCACUUACUGUAACAGUGGAACUGGUCUGAACUGGUCAUCUGCUGUGGCCACCUGUGUGAUAACGUAGUGGUGGAAUUACCCUGUUUUACAGAAGGGAGGGGGUUUUUAGCCUUGACUUUUAGUAUAAAUAUGAGUUGAUGUGGCCACUUUCUUCAGCGAAAGCAUACCCACUUAUCGGGUUUUAUCUAGUCUCUGAUUUUGAUACUCUUUGCUUUUAGGGCAGAAAGGGAAGGGAAUAUUUCUGUUUUUUGUACUUGUUUUUUGAUUAUUCACUAAAUAAUAAAACCACCUGAGCUUGUUGUGAGCUAGGGGACCAAAAGACUUGUAUUCCUUGAUUUUAGUCAUUUAAUUUCUCUCUCUCACACCUCAGCUUUCCGAGGGUAGAAGUUUCCCUCUCAUGAGGGCAGUUAAGACUCCUCUUUAACCACCUGGGCGAGUUGCAGCCCGGCGGGGAUCGACAUUGACAGUCAGACCUCCUGUUAUCUCCUAGUGGGAGUGCAUUCCCCAUCCGCUCUGCCGGUCAGAGCCACCGAGCACUUAGCCUCUCUCGGACCGGCGACCAACGAAGGCUAGCGGGCGUCCUUGAGAAGGAGGGGACCUCCGGUGACCCUGGGAGGAACGAUGAGACCUUGAAGUUU